ensembl:snRNA U2 U2 spliceosomal RNA
AGCACUUCUUGGCCCUUUGGCUAAGAUCAUGUGUAUUAUCUAUUCUUAUUAGUUUAAUGUCUGAUAUGUCCUCUUUCCAAGGACAAUAUAUGUAUAUAUAUUUAAUACAUUUUAUUGUAAAAAUACUGUACAAAGGAGUUACAGUUACAUGAGUAAGGUGAUGAGUACAUUUCCUAUUGAGCAUUAAUGCCCCCU